rnacentral:rRNA from 1 species
ACCACAACAGGUGGAGCCUGCGGUUUAAUCGGACUCAAACGCCGGGAAACUCACCAGAUAAGACAGCUGAAUGAUAGUCGGGCUGAAGACUCUACUUGACUAGCUGAGAGGAGGUGCAUGGCCGUCGUCAGUUCGUACUGUGAAGCAUCCUGUUAAGUCAGGCAACGAGCGAGACCCACGCCAACAGUUGCCAGCUCGUCCUCCGGGAUGGUGGGGACACUGUUGGGACCGCCUCUGCUAAAGAGGAGGAAGGAAUGGGCAACGGUAGGUCAGCAUGCCCCGAAUUAUCUGGGCUACACGCGGGCUACAAUGGGUGGGACAAUGGGUAUCGACACCGAAAGGUGAAGGCAAUCUCCUAAACCCAUCCGUAGUUCGGAUUGUGGGCUGCAACUCGCCCACAUGAAGCUGGAAUCUGUAGUAAUCGUGUCUCAAAAUGGCACGGUGAAUAUGUCCCUGCUCCUU